rnacentral:rRNA from 1 species
UGGGGAAUAUUGGACAAUGGGCGGAAGCCUGAUCCAGCAACGCCGCGUGAGGGAUGACGGCCUUCGGGUUGUAAACCUCUUUCAGCGGGGACGAAGCGCAAGUGACGGUACCCGCAGAAGAAGCACCGGCCAACUACGUGCCAGCAGCCGCGGUAAUACGUAGGGUGCGAGCGUUGUCCGGAAUUAUUGGGCGUAAAGGGCUCGUAGGCGGUUUGUCGCGUCGGGAGUGAAAACCAUGGGCUUAACUCAUGGCUUGCUUCCGAUACGGGCAGACUAGAGGCAUGCAGGGGAGAACGGAAUUCCUGGUGUAGCGGUGAAAUGCGCAGAUAUCAGGAGGAACACCGGUGGCGAAGGCGGUUCUCUGGGCAUGUCCUGACGCUGAGGAGCGAAAGUGUGGGGAGCGAACA